AUAACAUUGAAAAUACACUUCUCUGCACAGAAACAAGUCGACUUUGUUUGUUUGUUUGGUUGGUUGGUUGUGUGUGCGUGUGCGUGCGUGCGUGCAUGUGUGUGUGUGCGUGUGUGCGCGCGCUUGUGUGUGUUAGUCUCCCCUUUGUACAGCCUUCAUGAAUGAGAGUCACUGAGACAGGACAGUCCAACCAAAUCAUUUAUGUUCUCCAUCAUCCUUCCCGAGACUGUCAAAAAAAGUUUGCGCUUACUCUCAAGAUCACGCGCUCCAUAAUGUCCGGCACCGAGGAGUCAAAAUCAAAAGAAGUGAAUCGACGUCCUGCGUCGUUUUCUUUUCUUUUUUUUUCCGUCCGAGGUCGUAUUUUAACAAAGGAAAGUAAACUUGGUCGGUGCCACAUUCCCACCUGAGACUGCAGUGAUUGGGGUUUAAUUAUGCACCGAAAGUGAGGGAAAGGUUGUGUGAACAUCUGUGCAUCUGGAACAGGCCACUGGCUGCUUUUCAGAGACCCGUGGUCCCAGCAUCUUGCUGUUACUCAUUCACUUUGUCAAGAUAAUUAUUUGUUUUUGGUUAUUUGUCACCAGUGCUUCAUCCAUAAGGAACCUGUAACUGAGUAUCACAGAGCCAAGAGUCACAAUCAUUUGUUCUACUGUAAUUAAGGCAAAAAAAGGGCACUUUCAUAUACAUAGGGAGAAAUAAAGAGAAUUAAGUGAUGUAUAACGUAUAUACCAGUCAAAUGUUUGCGCAUUACAGUAAAUAGUCAUUUUGCUAAAGAAUUAUGGAUGAAAUCUGUUCUGAAGACAAAUGUACUAUAUAAAUUGAUUUCUGAAUCAAAAUGUAUUUUUUAAUAUGUUGCUUUUAUUUAAAACAACAAUCAGUUUUCAAUUGGAACUUUGGAGAAGUAGUGAGGAGCUUGACUUAUUUGGGAAUUGUAAGAAAAGCCUCCUGGGUGAAGUUUCCAUCAUGACGCUGGUUGAGAAGAUGACAAGAGUUUGCCAAACUUCAUCAGGAAUAUUGCUAAGAAUUUAGAAUAUAAAGUAGUUUCUACUGCAUAAUUCCAUGUGUGUUAUUUCCUAGUUCAAAAAUAAAAGAACCUUUCUUUGAGAAGGUAUGUCCAACCGUUUAACUGGUAGUGUACAUUAUUCUGAACUGAGGUAGUCUGAAUUUAGAAAAAUACGCAAUGGGCUUAUGUUUGAAUUUUCUGUCCUGAUUUCACCUCUGUCUCUCAUUCUUACUCAGCUGUAACUCAUCCUACCACCUUCCUUCCUUGUCAUGCCCACUUCAAUCUCCCUCACACACCAUACUGUUUGCAUAUAUGUUAUGCAUAAAGACAACAGUAGAU
ensembl:lncRNA